GAGUUUGAUCCUGGCUCAGAAUGAACGCUGGCGGCACGCUUAACACAUGCAAGUCGAACGAGAUCUUCGGAUCUAGUGGCAGACGGGUGCGUAACGCGUGGGAACCUGCCCUUUAGUAAGGAAUAACUCAGGGAAACUUGUGCUAAUACCUUAUAAUCCCUUCGGGGGAAAGCUUUAUGCGCUACUGGAUGGGCCCGCGUUAGAUUAGCUUGUUGGUGAGGUAAUGGCUCACCAAGGCGACGAUCUAUAGCUGUUCUGAGAGGAUGAUCAGCCACACUGGGACUGAGACACGGCCCAGACUCCCACGGGAGGCAGCAGUGGGGAAUAUUGGACAAUGGGGGCAACCCUGAUCCAGCGAUGCCGCGUGAGUGAUGAAGGCCCUAGGGUUGUAAAACUCUUUCGCCAGGGAAGAUAAUGACGGUACCUGGUAAAGAAGAUCCGGCUAACUCCGUGCCAGCAGCCGCGGUAAUACGGAGGGAUCUAGCGUUAUUCGGAAUAACUGGGCGUAAAGCGAGCGUAGGCGGAUUUGUAAGUUGGAGGUGAAAUCCCAGGGCUUAACCCUGGAACUGCCUUCAAAACUACAUUUCUUGAGUUUGGUAGAGGAGAGUGGAAUUCCUAGUGUAGAGGUGAAAUUCGUAGAUAUUAGGAGGAACACCAGUGGCGAAGGCGACUCUCUGGGCCAAUACUGACGCUGAGGUUCGAAAGCGUGGGGAGCGAACGGGAUUAGAUACCCCGGUAGUCCACGCAGUAAACGAUGAGUGCUAGAUGUUGGGAACAUUAGUUUUCAGUAUCGCAGCUAACGCGUUAAGCACUCCGCCUGGGAAGUACGGCCGCAAGGCUAAAACUCAAAUGAAUUGACGGGGACCCGCACAAGCGGUGGAUCAUGUGGUUUAAUUCGAAGCAACGCGAAGAACCUUACCGGCUCUUGACAUACCAAUCGCGGAUCUAAGAGAUUAGAUCCUUCACUUCGGGUGGAUUGGAUACAGGUGCUGCUUGGCUGUCGUCAGCUCGUGUCGUGAGAUGUUGGGUUAAGUCCCGCAACGGGCGCAACCCCUACCUUCAAUUGCCAGCACGUUAUGGUGGGAACUUUGAAGGAACUGCCGGUGAUAAGCCGGAGGAAGGUGGGGAUGACGUCAAGUCCUCAUGGCCCUUACGGGCCGGGCUACACACGUGAUACAAUGGUGAUUACAAAGGGCUGCUACAGAGCGAUCUCAAGCAAAUCCUUAAAAGUCAUCUCAGUUCGGAUUGCACUCUGCAACUCGAGUGCAUGAAGUUGGAAUCGCUAGUAAUCGUAGAUCAGCGCGCUACGGUGAAUACGUUCCCGGGUCUUGUACACACCGCCCGUCACACCAUGGGAGUUGGUUUUACCUGAAGCUAGUUCGCUAACCGCAAGGAGGCAGCUAACCACGGUAAGAUUAGCGACUGGGGUGAAGUCGUAACAAGGUAACC
rnacentral:rRNA from 1 species